GUUACCUUGUUACGACUUUUGGGAGCCAUAAUCAAACUCAGAGUACUGUAGAGGGGGGUAGAAUUUCAGGUGUAGCGGUGAAAUGCGUAGAGAUCUGAAGGAAUACCAGUGGCGAAGGCGGCCCCCUGGACAGAUACUGACACUCAGAUGCGAAAGCGUGGGGAGCAAACAGGAUUAGAUACCCUGGUAGUCCACGCCGUAAACGGUGUCUACUUGGAGGUUGUGGCCUUGAGCCGUGGCUUUCGGAGCUAACGCGUUAAGUAGACCGCCUGGGGAGUACGGUCGCAAGAUUAAAACUCAAAUGAAUUGACGGGGGCCCGCACAAGCGGUGGAGCAUGUGGUUUAAUUCGAUGCAACGCGAAGAACCUUACCUACUCUUGACAUCCAGAGAACUUUUCAGAGAUGAAUUGGUGCCUUCGGGAACUCUGAGACAGGUGCUGCAUGGCUGUCGUCAGCUCGUGUUGUGAAAUGUUGGGUUAAGUCCCGCAACGAGCGCAACCCUUAUCCUUGUUUGCCAGCGAGUAAUGUCGGGAACUCCAGGGAGACUGCCGGUGAUAAACCGGAGGAAGGUGGGGACGACGUCAAGUCAUCAUGGCCCUUACGAGUAGGGCUACACACGUGCUACAAUGGCGCAUACAGAGGGCAGCCAACUUGCGAGAGUGAGCGAAUCCCAAAAAGUGCGUCGUAGUCCGGAUCGGAGUCUGCAACUCGACUCCGUGAAGUCGGAAUCGCUAGUAAUUGUGGAUCAGAAUGCCACGGUGAAUACGUUCCCGGGCCUUGUACACACCGCCCGUCACACCAUGGGGAGUGGGCUGCAAAAGAAGUAGGUAGUUUAACCUUCGGGAGGACGCUUACCACUUUGUGGUUCAUGACUGGGGUGAAGUCGUANCAAGGUAACA
rnacentral:rRNA from 1 species